UAUAACUUGUCACGAUAUGAUAAUAGUUUUUCUCACUCGAUCCAAGAAAAAGACCGGGUUAUCAAAGGGACAAUGGAACAAAAGUGAACCGGGUGUUAUAUCUCCGGUCCUCCAAUUUUAUUUUAUUUUUGAGAAACAGGUCCCUCGGCUGAUUUCCCUAUAAGCAAGGACAGCCCAAAAAGACACAUGGCUUAAAGAAAAAACUCGCGGCAUAUUAUGUAAAAAAAACUCAGCAUACACGCGUGUCUCGGCGAAGCACUUGCCAUGUGUCCACCACCGCGCUUGACGGCUCUGUGGCGGCGGCUUGCUAUAAGCCGAGUCUUUUCUAAGGGCAGGCUUAGAUAUGUAUUUUUAUAAAUGCUCCAGUGUAAACCUAGUGCCUGGUAGAAUACAUUCGACUUAAGCUACUGCAAUUUCCCCCUUCAUUUCUCCAUUAAAUAAUACACAAAGCAUUUUUUUUUCACUCUUGUGUUCUUUUUAUUGUAUUUUCUUUCA